UUUCCCAAUCAAGUCACACCAGUGGAGCUUGAAACGCAACACGUCCUGUGCGCUCGCAUUGCAUCAAGAUGAAAGACAAAAGCAUCACAGAGGAGCAAUAUGAUGAGACAGGGAGGAUGUGUCCACAGUACACUGCCAGACAAAACAAUGUCGCCCCAAGAUAAAAGCUGCUCAGUGUCACAGAUAUGGAUCUGUUCUCAAGCAAGUUCAACAGCAUGGCACUUACAGACCUCCGAAUAGGUGCUGGCUUAAAAAUCCUAUCAUGAGGUCUGCAUUUA